rnacentral:tRNA from 1 species
GGGGGUAUAGCUCAGUGGCAGAGCACGUGCUUAGUGUGCAUGAGGCCCCAGGCUCAGUCUCUGGCAUCUCCA